rnacentral:rRNA from 1 species
CUCCGGGUUGAUCCUGCCGGACCCGACUGCUAUCGGAUGGAGAUUUAGCCAUGCGAGUGAAACGUCUUCUGACUGCAGGAGGCGUAGCAUACGGCUCAGUAACACGUAGUCAACCUGCCCUGGAGACGUGGAUAACCCCGGGAAACUGGGAUUAAUCCACGAUAGGUCACCUCAUCUGGAAGGAGAGAUGGCCCAAAGGGGAGCUGUGAGCAUGUUUCACUACUAUCGCUCCAGGAUGGGACUGCGGCCGAUCAGGCUGUUGGCGGGGUAAAGGCCCACCAAACCUGUAACCGGUACGGGCUUUGAGAGAAGGAGCCCGGAGAUGGACACUGAGACAAGGGUCCAGGUCCUACGGGGCGCAGCAGGCGCGAAACCUUCGCAAUGCGCGAAAGCGUGACGAGGUUAGUCCGAGUGGCUUCCGCUGAGGAGGUCUUUUGCUGGCUCUAAAAAGGCUGGAGAAUAAGGGGAGGGCAAGCCUGGUGUCAGCCGCCGCGGUAAUACCAGCUCCUCGAGUGGUCGGGGCGAUUAUUGGGCCUAAAGCAUCCGUAGCCGGUUCAGUAGGUCUUCUGCAAAAUCCGAUCGCUUAACGAUUGGCCCGCAGGAGAUACCGCUGGACUAGGAGGCGGGAGAGGUGGACGGUACUCCACGGGUAGGGGUAAAAUCCUUUGAUCCGUGGAAGACCACCAGUGGCGAAGGCGGUCCACCAGAACGCGCUCGACGGUGAGGGAUGAAAGCUGGGGGAGCGAACCGGAUUAGAUACCCGGGUAGUCCCAGCCGUAAACGAUGCGAGCUAGAUGAUCCAAUCGCAAAUCGCGAUUGGAGUGUCGCAGGGAAGCCGUUAAGCUCGCCGCCUGGGGAGUACGGUCGCAAGGCUGAAACUUAAAGGAAUUGGCGGGGGAGCA